AUUAUUUUAAGAUUAUUUUUUAUUGUUGAAAAAAUUAAAAAUAAAUUGUUUUUAACAAAAAUUAAAAUUUAUAAUAUUUCAUUUUUUGGUUUUUUGUUUUAAAUUAAAAUAAUAAAUAUGGGGGAAAAAAAAAUUUUGUUAUAAAUUAUAUUAGUUUAUUUUAAUUAAAAAUAUUUUUUAUUAAAUUUGUUUUUUUUAUUUUUUUAUAAAAAAUAUUAAUUUAAUUAUUAUUAUUGAGUUUAAUUUAGUUAUUUUUAAAAAAAUUUUGUAUAAAAUAAAUUUGAUAAUAAAUGUUUUUUAAAUUCUUUGGGGGU
rnacentral:rRNA from 1 species